rnacentral:rRNA from 1 species
GACGAACGCUGGCGGCGUGCUUAACACAUGCAAGUCGAACGGAAAGGCCCUGCUUUUGUGGGGUGCUCGUGUGGCGAACGGGUGAGUAACACGUGAGUAACCUGCCCUUGACUUUGGGAUAACUUCAGGAAACUGGGGCUAAUACCGGAUAGGAGCUCCUGAUGCAUGGUGGGGGUUGGAAAGUUUCGGCGGUUGGGGAUGGACUCGCGGCUUAUCAGCUUGUUGGUGGGGUAGUGGCUUACCAAGGCUUUGACGGGUAGCCGGCCUGAGAGGGUGACCGGCCACAUUGGGACUGAGGUACGGCCCAGACUCCUACGGGAGGCAGCAGUGGGGAAUAUGGCACAAUGGGCGGAAGCCUGAUGCAGCAACGCCGCGUGCGGGAUGACGUCCUUCGGGUUGUAAACCGCUUUCGCCUGUGACGAAGCGUGAGUGACGGUAAUGGGUAAAGAAGCACCGGCUAACUACGUG